GAGAGGCUUGAAAAUAGGCCUUUGUUUUACCACCUUAUUAUGUCAGUUAGUGGAACAGCACAAGCUUCUGAAAACAUGGUAUGCAGCUGGCCAUCAUGCUGGAGGGAGGAACUGUGUCAGAUUUUGAAGAACUUGGCACCCGAGUUCUGUGGAAGGAUAUUUAUUUCAAAUAUAAGGAUUACCUGAGGACGAAGUGCAACGUGGUACUCCCUCAUAAGCUCAGGAAAGGCUGGUGGAUCUGACAGCAUCAGAGGCUGUGCUC